AAUGAUUACAUGGAAUACCGCGAAGAAAGGAUCCAGGCUCUGGAGGAUAGGGGGUUUUUACCAGAUCCAUUCAAUUACAUUGGCGCUAUUCAGAAUCUGGAUGGACCAGCUUAU